rnacentral:rRNA from 1 species
UACGAAGGGGGCUAGCGUUGCUCGGAAUCACUGGGCGUAAAGGGCGCGUAGGUGGCGCGAGGAGUCUGUGGUCGAAAGCCCGAGGCUCAACUUCGGGUCGGCCGCGGAUACUCUCGUGCUGGAGGGUGGUAGAGGCCAAUGGAAUUCCGGGUGUAGCGGUGGAAUGCGUAGAGAUCCGGAAGAACACCGGUGGCGAAGGCGGUUGGCUGGGCCACACCUGACACUGAGGCGCGACAGCGUGGGGAGCAAACAGG